UUUCAUUCUUUUUUAUGGCUGACUAAGACUUGUACCCAGCCGAUUUCAAGGAUAUGGGCCAUCUUGGAGUUUUGGUUACAUUCUUAGCAGAAAUGUGAGCCAGCUCUUUCCCUAGGAAGGCUCCUGCUGUGAAACCAUCUUUGGCAAUGAAUCUUUAACAAAAGAUCAGGAACUUGACAUUUAUUUUUAAGCCUGAGAAGAAAAUGUGUGCAGUGCUGGAAGCAAAUAUAGGGAUAGGAAAAGCUUCUCAACAGUUGCAGGGAGCUGCAGUGGAACAAGAAGAAAUAUUAUAUGCCAUGCCAGUGGCUUUACUUUUGCAAAAUAGCAACUGAUGACUAGGUGUGUCUUUAUGAUUUCAACAUCAAGGAGAUUGUUAGGACACUGGUUGUAACAGAAGUUUAGGAUGAUAUAUUAAGAAAUCCUACGGACAGAGGAGCCUGGUGAGAAAUAGUCCAUGGGGUCACAAAGAGCUGGACACAACUGAGCAUCUGAGCAAGUAUUAAGAAACAGGAAGAGCAAUCAUUUUUCAUUCUAAUUGACUAAAUUGGAGAGUUGUGUGUGUUUUUUUUUUUUUUUUCCAGAAAAAGCAUGUGCACUCCAAUUUGUGAAUUCAUUCAUCUGAGUUGGGGGCGGGGGUGAGUUCUUGGAGGAAAGGCUAAAUAAAAUACUCUGGAUGUUCCUAUGAGGUGAGUCGUUUUCAUCCUCACGCUGUCCACCAAUAGUAAGGAAAUUUCUUCGAAAUUAAUGAAAAGCAACAGAGGCAGAAAGUGGCAUGGCUGUCAGAAAAUUACCAAGUUAAACAUAAAAGGGUGCCAGCUUUCCUCUAAAGGAUGGUUAUUUCUAUCUCAUGGC
ensembl:lncRNA